UACGGAGGAGGCAAGCGUUAUCCGGAAUCAUUGGGCGUAAAGAGCGUGUAGGCGGUCCGUUAAGUCGGCUGUGAAAGUCCAAGGCUCAACCUUGGGAUGCCGGUCGAUACUGCCGGACUAGAGUUCGGAAGAGGCAAGUGGAAUUCCCGGUGUAGCGGUGAAAUGCGCAGAUAUCGGGAAGAACACCCGUGGCGAAGGCGGUUCUCUGGGCCUGUUCUGACGCUGAGGAGCGAAAGCGUGGGGAGCGAACAGG
rnacentral:rRNA from 1 species